CUGGAGGAGAUUUUCCAGCCAGGCUCCUGGCUGAAAUCCAGCUCUUAGCUGGAUUUAGCCAAAGCCUGGCUGGAAACAAUACCAG
rnacentral:pre_miRNA from 1 species